ACAAUCAAUUCUCGCGUUGAGAAUUUUCAGUAAUUUUUCUGGCGUGGCGCAGUGACAUGGCUGAUUAUUUAUAAUAAGUUAUUACUUAUUGUAGAUAAGUAUAAUUUAUAAGUAAGUAUUAUAAAUAACUAAAUAUUACUUAAUUUAGAUAAUUAAUUGAAUCUAGCGUUUAGAUCUAGCGGGUAGUGUCUCUUCAGCCUGCGAAUCUGGUCCGUCGUAUCAAGUAGUCCAGUGAUUAGGGGGUUUCGGUGUUUGCCAAAGCGAAGCUGAUAGUGAAAAUUCUGAAUACAUUGAAAGUGGAGGGAUAAAAGGAUCUUCGGAUAGUGAAAAGGAAAACUUCUUGAAAGUGUGUCGUAACAAGAAAAGGAUGCGUAUUUUUUCUAGUUCUGACUCCGAGGAUGAGAGGACGAGCAUUCCAAACACGUCCCAAAAUGUAAUGGGUGAAAUUGAAAUUGCAAUUGACGGGACACAGUGGAUAAAACUGAAAGCAGGCGGAUCUAGGGGUGGGACGCCCGUUCCUAUGAUAUUCAAGGAUAUCGCAGGACCUACUGGCUAUGCUAAGAGAAAUAUUAUCUAGGGUUGUGUAACUAGUGCUUUCGAAUUGACAAUUGACAGACACAUAAUGGGACACAUAAAAGAUUGCACUGAAACCGAGGCACAUCGAGUUUUGAAAAAAGACUGAUCAAUCACAAUUGCUGAGUUACGUAGUUUUCUAAGAAUUCUAUAUGCCCUAGGCGCAUAUGAAGCAAGAUCAUUGAAAGCUUCCGAAAGAUUACAAACAGAUAAAUUUGCGCUGAUAUCCGAAAUAUGGAACAGAUUUAUAAGUAAUAGCCAGGCUUGUUAUAAGGUGUACAAGUAUAAGACAAUUAUAAACGUGUUCCAGAAACCAUUUUUUAAAAAGAGACUUUACUUAUUAAUAAUUUAUUUAAACGUGAAUCCUAAUAUUGUUUAAUUCAGACUUAGUUUGAAUAAACCGAUUUUUUAAAGAAAAGGCGUGUUUUCGUUUACCCGUCAAUUUAACGGGUGCUCUUAGAGAUGGGUAUAUAAGAAACGCCCGUAAACCUAGUGUUAAAUAUGUAUUAUCUCCAAUAAAAAUGCUUGAAAUUACAACUUCCAAAUAAAAUAUGUACACAUAUAUUUAAAUAUUUGACGCCAAUAUUGGAAAGUAAACAUCUAUUUAAUUUUUUUUAUUUCGUUAAAAAAUUGUGUAACUAUUGACAUUAUCUAUAAGUAUCUAAAAUAAACAAUCAUAAUCCAUAAUUUUUUACUAAAAAAGCAAAAUUAUAGAAUAAUUUUAGUUUACAGAGGUUUUUAAUAAUGAAACAUAUAUUUGUAUUGUAUAACAUUUGUUAGACAUUAGUUAGAUACGAACUAAUAAUAUUAUAAUCAUAGUAAUCGUAUAUGUCAGACAAAACUUGGUCUCUAUUAUCAUUAUUGUCAUGCUGUUUUUUUUUCUUAUAUCCCCCUGAUAUUCGGUCCACCAGGAGUCAAGUACGUGAAUGCAUUGGAGAGAUAAAAGGAGACGGAAAUAACCGAGACCGCGCUAUUCUUUUAUUUGCGUUACACAGAUUGCUUUACACAACGAAUCCUAACUUCUCGAUUGAAGCGUCCAACUACGGACGAGUUGACAUCGCCUGAACAUCUAGAGCCUUACUCCUACAAUGAGAUUGUAUUCCAAAUCUGUAUAGAUCGUGGUACAACCUAUUUGCGUCCGAGAAUUAGGAACGGAUCAUGGAGCUAUGGAAUAAAUUGUCACAUUUGAAUGAAUUUGGCUUACUCUACGAUAUUACAGACUGCAAAUACUAAGAUACCAGAUAAGUUUGAUAAUAUUAAUCAUGUUAGAUGCAAUGUAUUAAUACAAUACAAUUAUCAAGUAUUCGGCAUCCAACGUAUAUCUUUUUUUAUACUAUAACUUUUUUCUUUGGUAAAAGUAAUCACAUAUUAUGUACAUAAAAAAACAAUCAUAAGCAGGAGUAUACUCCACUAUUAUAUUUAUAAAUUGUAUGUUUUCAGGCCAUCAAACUAUAGAAAAUUUACAAUGAAAGAAGAAUCUACGAUCUGCUCCGUAUUUUAACAGUAGUUUUAUCGUUCCCAAUGACGUGAUUCCUUUUGUAAAUGGUAUAUGCGAUUCGAUCGCAAUGUGGAGCGCUGUUCUACCUACGUACGAGGAAACACGAACAAACGUCAAAUAGCCGGUUCCCUUGAAUGGUUCUCAAAGCCAACAAUUCAGCUAGAGUUUCUUCAUGAGAAUCCCCUUGUGAAGCGAUCGAAUGUAUCAGUGUAUCCCCCUGUAACAAGGAUGCAACAAUUUUAAGAAACGGAGAAAUCAGGA